ACUCAACACGCCCGGGAUGGGUUUUAGCAGCUCAUACUGACAUGGCUACGCAAUUAUACAUAGCUACAUAAGUAAAAACAAACAAGUAAAAUAAGUAAGGAAAUUCAGCAGUAAAUGUGACAGAGGUGACAGUGCCGGAUAAGGUUGUACAUGGUAUACACAAGCAAUGAAGUUUAAAAGGAAAAAGGGGUGGGUGCAGAGGAGGAGGAAGACAGCUGAAAAAGGAAAGGGGUGGCAGAGUUCAUACAACCAGGAUGGGCUGAAAAAGGAUGGAGUGAAGAAGGAAGCAAUGUUGUCCCUAUAAUCUGGAGCAAGCUAACAGGAGUCAACGGACAGGAAAAAUACAAUAUAUUAAGUAUAUAAUAAAAGAGCAAACACAAGAUAAGAAAAUCUAGAGACUGGAGGUAAAAAAACGCAUCAUGGAGCAAGCACAGGAGAGAAAAGCUGAGUGCAAUGAAAUCAAAAUGAGAAAAGUGCAGAGAGCGCACAAAAAGGAAAAGAGCAAGAAAAGCAAAAUGAAGCGAGGGAGACAGCAAAGGGGAGAGGACAGAGCAAAAUGAAGGAAAGGGGUGGGAGUGAGGGGGAAAAGUGCAGACGCCACAGAGUGGAAACGAAAGGAAAGGGAGGAAGGAAAAAAGCUUCAGAGAAAGAAGCCAAGGAGUGUGAACAGCAGAGAUGAGACCGAGGGGAGAGAGCUGGCGAUGCAAGCAGAGAGAAUGAGCGUGAAAAGCCUGCGAGAAAAAAAUAGCUCAGCAAAGGGCACAGCGCAGACGUUCGCUACACAGAGCUAAAAGGCUGACAGUGGACUACAGAUAAACCAAUGUCAGUUUCCAAAAGCAACAAGCAGAAUUUUGGAAGCAGCUACAGAUGUGAAUGGGGAAUAAGGAGUAGAAGAAUGAAAAUAACGGAAGGAGGCACCGAGCCAAUCGCCCAAUGAACGAGCAGAUUCUCAUUGCUGACACCUAAAUCAUUGUUUCUGGGCAGCAGAUCGUACCAUGUAAACUGUGAUCUGCUGCCUAGAAACAAUGAGGGUCAUUGAAACAAUGAGGUACCUGCA